rnacentral:rRNA from 1 species
AUGUUUAUUGUCUGUCCACAAAGUUCUCUCACGUCACUUUUGGCCCAAGAGAAGAUAGAGUCCAAGUCUCUCACGUUCUGGAUUCAGAUUCGGACUGCACAGACACACCUGACUCAAAACGCACACAAGUUUUUCAUACGGACUCCGAAUUGGGUGAUUCUUUUUUUUUUGGAAACUAGAUUUCGUGCACUUUCCAACCCAAUUGGAAUCACCUUCAAAUUCGUCCGGAGCGUUGAGUUGUGGACGAAACAAUCUGAUGCUGCAGCAGAAUCCGAGUCAAACUACAAGUCCAAAGGUGUUACAUCACCUCCACUUGGGCCCAUUGGCCUUGUACGACCUAGAUUUAGUUUUAGGCUGCCUUGGGACGUCCUCCCACCUCCUUGGCCCCCACCCCUUGCUCCUAUAUAA